UGAGGAAUAUUGGUCAAUGGGCGCAAGCCUGAACCAGCCAUCCCGCGUGCAGGAAGACGGCGCUAUGCGUUGUAAACUGCUUUUCCAGGGGGAGAAACUUGCGCACGUGUUGCGCAAUUGACGGUACCCUGGGAAUAAGCAUCGGCUAACUCCGUGCCAGCAGCCGCGGUAAUACGGAGGAUGCAAGCGUUAUCCGGAUUCAUUGGGUUUAAAGGGUGCGCAGGUGGAUUAUUAAGUCAGUGGUGAAAGCCUACAGCUUAACUGUAGAACUGCCAUUGAUACUGAUAUCUUGAGUGUUGUUGAGGUAGGCGGAAUGUGUCAUGUAGCGGUGAAAUGCUUAGAUAUGACACAGAACACCGAUCGCGAAGGCAGCUUACCAAGCAACACUGACGCUCAUGC
rnacentral:rRNA from 1 species